rnacentral:tRNA from 1 species
CUUGGAGUAGUUCAGCGGUAGAACGCCCGGCUUAGGACCGGGAGGGCGCGGGUUCGAAUCCUGCCUCCAAGCCCU